CCGGGCUGAAGGGACAGCACGGGAGAAGGCACAGGGCACAGAGGGGCACUUUGUGCGACCACUUCCCACCCAGCCCUAUAAACUCAGUUCUGACGUCUAACCCUCAAGGAAGGCUGACUCGCAUUCCCUAUCCUCCUUGUCAGAUCGGCUACCUUCUCUCCAUCCUCCAGAACCCUCGCAGCAUCUCCAUGGCCUCUGCACAUACCUGAUGAUAUCGCCUGACCUGUUUGUCCCCCACCUCCCCACCGAGUGGCCACCCCUCAAGUGCAGCCACCUCGUGGCUGAAUGCCGAGCACAGAGUCCGGCCAGAGUCGGCGUUCACGGCAAGGGUGCUGCCUGAGCCGUCAAGUGCCUCCCAGCUAGAGACGUCCUCGCCGUCGCAGGAAGGUCGGCGGCCAAGUAAGAAACCUACACCUGUAUGUGUAUCAUUCAGGUAUGUUCUGCUGGAAAGCCUUCUAUGAGCUAUGAAGAGCAAAACAAAGUCCUUGUCCUCAACAAGCUUAUUCUCCAGUGUCCGUGGACAUAAAACUCUCACCUGUAAACAGAGGACAUAUGAAUAAACUGAGGCUGAGAGAGACUAACUCGCCUGGGGCCAUAAGGCCAGUGAGCAGCAAAGCCAGGUCUUGCCGACUCCAACCUUCGUGAUGCUCUUCUCAUGUCGUGAUGACAUCAGGAUGUGACCGGGAGCCCACCUGCAGGUCCAGUCCAGUCCAGCCAGAGAUGCAAGGGUUUGUCGGCUGUGGAUCUCACCCUGGGCCAGGAAAGACCUGCCAGGGGCCUGCCUGUGAAUCGUGGGGGAGGGAGCAGGCGACAGUGCUCGGUUCUCUGUCCCGCCAGAGUCCGCUUCGGCUGACCUAGGCCCUGCUGGGCUUGGCUCACCGAGUGUUCAUUCUAGCGCCUUCUUCCCUCUCCCCCUGCAAAGCCUUUUGUGUAAUGGGUUUUCCCUUCCAGUGCAAUUUCAAAACGUGUUGAGCCAAGGAGAGCCCUCAGGCCUCCUCUGGGUGUUUGCUGUUGUUGACAGGAAACAUUAGUGAUGAGUCACUCCAAAAGCAGUGUAUCAAAGAGCAGGGCAGACUCGGGUGGGUCUGGAGAGCGCCUGGUGUCAGCUCGGGGAGGCCUUUGUGAGCGCAGCUGUGGGCAUUACUCUCUCGGGUGCGGGACAUAGAGGACAGUGCCCCAGCGAAGGAGCCUCAGGUCAGAGCACAGGCUGAGCAGAAGUCAGCAAUGGAGAGCUGAUGAAAUCCAUGUCCAUCCGGGUCUGGGAGCCAGGGUGUCAUAGCCAAAGGGUGCUCCUGCUGCGGAACCAGGCCCGGCCUGAGCCCCGGGUGGGAGAGGGCUGCCAGCCGACAGUGUCUAUGGGCUGACUCACCGGAGGGCUACGGGAGUUGGGGGCCACCUGCAAGUAUGGGCGUCCCUGGGGGACAUGCCAAAACCCACCCAGCCUUUAGGGAGAUGAGCAGUGUGCGCGUGACCAACAUCAGCAUGUCACCACGCACGGACUGCGGUGGACUGAGUGUGUCCACCCAAAAUCCUUAUGUUGAGACCUAACCCCCACUGUGAUGGUGUUAGGGGCGGGCCUUUGGGAGGUCAUGAGGUCAAGAGGGAUUAAUGCCCCUAUAAAAGAGACCCCAGAGCCCCCACAUCUCCUACCGUAUGAGGACACAGCAAGCAGACGCCGUCUGUGAACCAGGAAGUGGGGUCUCACCAGACACCGGAUCUGCUGGUAUCUUGGUCCCGAAUGUCCAGCCUCCAGAGCUGUGAAGAAUGAAUGAAUGUCUGUUGUCCCUAAACCCCGAGUCUGGUGUUUGUUGUGGCAACCAGAGCUUACUAGAUACAUCCUCGUACUUACCUCUUGUUGCUCAAAAUCCUCUGUAUGUUGAUGACCACAGGGCUGAUUCUGGUACUUCCUACAGUGUCUAUAGCUAAAUCAAUACUCACGUAUUUGAUGAACUCCUGUCCUUAUUUAAGUGUCCUAAGGAUGUGGCCGAAGGCACAAGGGAGCACGAGACAAAAUGCCUAAACUUCAACAAACGUGUAUUCAAAAUAGGAUCAAAAUAGAGAUUCCCAGAGCACGGUGCAGAACACUACACUCUGAACUGUGAGAUUGUGUGGUUACAACCCAAAUAGCAUUAGGGGUUUAGAGAGGACAGAAAACCUCAGCAUUUAGAGUCAUACUUAGAGUAAUCAGGGGAGGCUUCCUGGAGGUGGUGAGGCCUGAGUGAGUCUUUGAAUGAUGGGUUCAGAAUGGAGAGCGGAAAUUCUAGAUGGAAGGAGUAGCAUGAACAGUCAGAACUGAAUUCAGAGUUAGCUCGAGGCGUGUGGGUCAUUCACUUCUUGGCCUCACUACCAUAGUCCAGUCAAAUAGCAGAUGGUAGAUGAUACCACUGAUAUGAGAAAACAGCGUGCAGCCCACUGACAGAGCCCCGAAACAUGCAGAGUGGGAACUUCCUCAAGUACUCGUCACUGCCUUAGUGCCUUCAUGUGUGAAAGGAACUUUAUCCAGACACCUGGGUGGCUCAGUUGUUAAGCAUCUUGGCUCAGGUCAUGAUCCCCGGGUCCUGGG